CACUCCUGCGGGAGGCAGCAGUGGGGAAUUUUGGACAAUGGGCGAAAGCCUGAUCCAGCAAUGCCGCGUGAGUGAAGAAGGCCUUCGGGUUGUAAAGCUCUUUUGUCAGGGAAGAAACGGUGAGAGCUAAUAUCUUUUGCUAAUGACGGUACCUGAAGAAUAAGCACCGGCUAACUACGUGCCAGCAGCCGCGGUAAUACGUAGGGUGCAAGCGUUAAUCGGAAUUACUGGGCGUAAAGCGUGCGCAGGCGGUUUUGUAAGUCUGAUGUGAAAUCCCCGGGCUCAACCUGGGAAUUGCAUUGGAGACCGCAAGGCUAGAAUCUGGCAGAGGGGGGUAGAAUUCCACGUGUAGCAGUGAAAUGCGUAGAUAUGUGGAGGAACACCGAUGGCGAAGGCAGCCCCCUGGGUCAAGAUUGACGCUCAUGCACGAAAGCGUGGGGAGCAAACAGGAUUAGAAACCCCGGUAGUCCCA
rnacentral:rRNA from 1 species